UAAAGUACAUACAAAAUAACUGUUUUUGAAAAACAAAGAUAUACGGUUCAGACUCUGAGAAGAAGCUGUAAGUCAGGACCAACUGAGACACAGGAGGAUCUGUCUCUUAUGUUUCAUCAGGUGGAUUCAGAAGACAUGAGGAUGCUAUAUGCCUGGACAUGUUUAUCACUUUGCAAGUCUUGAGGUCACACAGAAGAAUUGCCAGCCAAUCAGCACUGUCUUGAACAAUUGCUGAGAUUGAUCAACCAAUCCGUGUCCACUUGUCUUCCAGCAACUGAGUGAUUUAUCCUAUCUACUUGUUGUUAGAUUUAAAUCUUGCCUUUUGUUCAGAAUCUCAAGGCAGAGUAAAUUGAGCCCCUCCAAUUACCAUACUUGUCUGGUAAACAGGGCUGAGAGUGAUUGGCCUGAAUUCACUAUGGGAACUUUUAUGGUUGAGGGUGGGGUUGUCUGGGUCUCCCCUGAGGAACAUCUCAAGUCUACACCUGGCUGGCUCUUAUCCUCUCUAUGUAGAUCUCUGCCUAAAAACACAUCUUUUUUUCCUUUUUCAGAACAAUAAACUCAUCCAUUG